rnacentral:rRNA from 1 species
GAGUUUGAUCAUGGCUCAGAUUGAACGCUGGCGGCAUGCCUUACACAUGCAAGUCGAACGGCAGCACGGGAGCUUGCUCCUGGUGGCGAGUGGCGAACGGGUGAGUAAUGCAUCGGAACGUAUCCUGGAGUGGGGGAUAACGUAGCGAAAGUUACGCUAAUACCGCAUAUUCUGUGAGCAGGAAAGCGGGGGACCUUCGGGCCUCGCGCUCUUGGAGCGGCCGAUGUCGGAUUAGCUAGUUGGUGAGGUAAAGGCUCACCAAGGCGACGAUCCGUAGCAGGUCUGAGAGGAUGAUCUGCCACACUGGAACUGAGACACGGUCCAGACUCCUACGGGAGGCAGCAGUGGGAAUUUUGGACAAUGGGGGCAACCCUGAUCCAGCCAUGCCGCGUGAGUGAAGAAGGCCUGGU